GGAACGGAAGUGACGUCAGCGGUCUGGAGACCGCCCGUGUUUGCAGAGGAAUUGUCCAGGAGCUGGAGCCGGAGGAGAAACUGGAAGAAGUGAACCUGAGCAGCCUUGAUAUCCUUGUAAGCAGAGAUGAAGAGUCCUCAGCUUUCUGCCUUCUCCAUGACUGGCUUACCACGGAGAAAGAAGUGAAGGGUAAGAGCCCACCCCAACUGUGAGAUGGAAGGUGCCCAAGAGCCGUGAGACAGUGAGC